UGCCAGUGUUCUCAUUGCUUUUACCAAGAUCCUGACUCCACUGCCACAGUGAAGAGUCCCAGCCUCUCAUUCCUUUCCAGACCUAAGUCAUUAGCGGACCCAGAGCUCCUUGAUUGAAGGAGAUAACCAGUCCCCUGGAGGAAGGUCCUUGCAGCAUAAAUCUUCCUUCGAGCCUUUCCAAAGUGACCUAUGGCCACUCACCAGGGUGUCUGUGCCCUGGGGAGAGGGAAUAUCCAGGCUCCUUAGGGAUUACUAGACAUAGGCUCUAAGUUUAUGCUUAUUCCUAGGGACCCAAAACGCCAGUCUGCUCCACCAGUCAAAAUAAGGGCUUAAGGGGGUCAGGGGACAGAUGGAA
rnacentral:lncRNA from 1 species